UACGUAGGGGGCAAGCGUUGUCCGGAAUCAUUGGGCGUAAAGCGCGUGUAGGCGGCCGGUAAGUCCGCUGUGAAAGUCGGGGCUCAACCCUCGAAUGCCGGUGGAUACUGUCGGGCUAGAGUGCGGAAGAGGCGGAGUGGAAUUCCUGGUGGUAGCGGUGAAAUGCGCAGACUAUCAGGGAGGAACACCAAUUGGCGAAGGCAGCUCGCUGGGACGUGAACUGGAC
rnacentral:rRNA from 1 species